rnacentral:rRNA from 1 species
UGGGGAUGCGUUCCAUUAGUUUGUUGGCGGGGUAACGGCCCACCAAGACAUCGAUGGAUAGGGGUUCUGAGAGGAAGUCCCCCCACAUUGGUACUGAGACACGGACCAAACUCUACGGGAGGCAGCAGUGAGGAAUAUUGGUCAAUGGCCGAGAGGCUGAACCAGCCAAGUCGCGUGAAGGAAGAAGGAUUACGGAUUGUAAACUUCUUUUAUAAGGGAAUAUGUCCCUUAUGAAUAAGCAUCGGCUAACUCCGUGCCAGCAGCCGCGGUAAUACGGAGGAUGCGACCGUUAUCCGGAUUUAUUGGGUUUAAAGGGAGCGCAGACGGGUCGUUAAGUCAGCUGUGAAAGUUUGGGGCUCAACCUUAAAAUUGCAGUUGAUACUGGCGUCCUUGAGUGCGGUUGAGGUGUGCGGAAUUCGUGGUGUAGCGGUGAAAUGCUUAGAUAUCACGAAGAACUCCGAUUGCGAAGGCAGCACACUAAUCCGUAACUGACGUUCAUGCUCGAAAGUGUGGGUAUCAAACAGGAUUAGAUACCCUGGUAGUCCACACGGUAAACGAUGGAUAGGGGCUGUUGGCCAGCGGCUCAGCGAAAGCAUUAAGUAUCCCACCUGGGGAGUACGCCGGCAA